rnacentral:rRNA from 1 species
GGGCCCGCACAAGCGGAGGAGCAUGUGGUUUAAUUCGAUGAUACGCGAGGAACCUUACCUAGGCUUAAAUGUAGUACGACCUCUGCCGAAAGGUGGAUUUCGCAAGACGGACUACAAGGUGCUGCAUGGUUGUCGUCAGCUCGUGCCGUGAGGUGUCGGGUUAAGUCCCAUAACGAGCGCAACCCCUAUUCUUAGUUGCCAUCGGGUAAUGCCGGGAACUCUAAGAAAACUGCCUACGCAAGUAGUGAGGAAGGUGGGGAUGACGUCAAAUCAGCACGGCCCUUAUGCCUAGGGCUACACACGUGCUACAAUGGGCGGUACAGAGGGCAGCUACCAGGCGACUGGAUGCAAAUCUCAAAAACCGUUCUCAGUUCGGAUCGGAGUCUGCAACUCGACUCCGUGAAGUUGGAUUCGCUAGUAAUCGCGCAUCAGCCUUGGCGCGGUGAAUACGUUCCCGGGCCUU